rnacentral:rRNA from 1 species
GUGAGAACCUCGCCUGGAGUGGGAAUAACGUCGGGGAAACUCGAGCUUAAUACCCGCACUACCUCGGAUGGUCGCAUGGCCGACCGAGGAAAGAUUUAUCGCUCUAGGAGGGUCUCGCGGCCUAUCAGCUAGUUGGUGGGUAACGGCCUACCAAGGCAACGACGGGUAGCUGGUUUGAGAGAACGAUCAGCCACACUGGGACUGAGACACGGCCCAGACUCCUACGGGAGGCAGCAGUGGGGAAUCUUGCGCAAUGGGCGAAAGCCUGACGCAGCAACGCCGCGUGCGGGAUGACGGCCUUCGUGGUUGUAAACCGCUUUCAGCAGGGACGAAAAUGACGGUACCUGCAGAAGAAGCCCCGGCUAACUACGUG